UGGCAAACGGGUGCGUAACGCGUAAGCAACCUGCCCCAAACCGGGGGAUAGCCUGGCGAAAGCGGGGGUAACCCCCCAUGGUUCUGUAGAGUCACCUGGCCCUGCAGAUAAACAUUUAUGGGUUUGGGAGGGGCUUGCGUCUGAUUAGGUAGUUGGCGGGGUAGUGGCCCACCAAGCCGGUGAUCAGUAGGGGUUCUGAGAGGAUUGGCCCCCACAUGGGUACUGAGAUACGGACCCAACUCCUACGGGAGGCAGCAGUAGGGAAUAUUGGGCAAUGGGCGCAAGCCUGACCCAACCAUGCCGCGUGCAGGAUGAAGGCGCUCAGCGUCGUAAACUGCUUUUAUCUACGAAGAAUGUUAUCCUCGCGGGGGUAUUUGACGGUAGUAGAGGAAUAAGCACCGGCUAACUCCGUGCCAGCAGCCGCGGUAAUACGGAGGGUGCAAGCGUUGUCCGGAUUUAUUGGGUUUAAAGGGUGCGUAGGUGGGCGAUUAAGUCUGGUUUGAAAGCAGGUGGCUCAACCAUCUGAUGUGGCUGGAAAC
rnacentral:rRNA from 1 species